CCUUUACCUGCGUAGGCCUUCUGAAGCAGCAUUUGAAGUUGCAGUCCUGAAAACCAUGCAGGCUGGAAGAGUAUCUAAAUAAAUAUUUAUUUGAGAUGGCACAUGUUUCUUCAGAAACUCAAGUUGUUUCUCCCAGAGAUGAAUUAACUGAUUCAGAAGCCUCCACUAGGUCUCCACCGUGUAAACACACAUUCCCAGGGGACUCAGACUUAAGGAAACUUUGGAAAAUACUUGAAAGUGACCAACUCAAGUCUGUUCUGUGGGUUGAGAAUGGAACUUGUGUGGUGAUUAAUGAAGAACUCUUCAAGAAAGAAAUUUUCGAUAUAAAGGCUCCUUACAGAAUAUUUCAAAGUGACAGUAUCAAAAGUUUUGUUCGACAGCUCAACCUUUAUGGAUUUAGUAAAAUUCGACAGAAUUUUCAAAGAUCUGCCAUUCUAGCCACCUUUCUGGCAGAAGAGAAUGAAUCCAUUGUCUUAAGCAAGAUAUUUAACAUAUUCAGUUACAACUUUACAUAGAGUAUAUAAGUAAUUUUACUUUGUACAUCAGUAAAUAUGUUAAUACAUGUAGUAAGACCAGAUUUUGAACAUUAUAUAAAAUAUUAAGGUAAAAUUUAUUUAAUUUUUUGAAAUUAUUGAGUUCAGCUUAAGCAUUAACCUUUCAGGGUUUUAAGAAAUUUUGCUAACAACUUUGAAUCUUACCAGUGAAAUCAAAAUAAAUGUACCAAAGCC